rnacentral:ncRNA from 1 species
UUACUGCGUGUUUUUAAAAUACGCAAACUAUCGUGUGGGGCGGUCUGAUAGCAAUAUUAGACGCAAAUUCAGCUGUAUGCUGGAACAACUGUUUCUUCAAUGAAUGUAGUAUCUUUGAGUACCUGUCGAAGGUUAAAAUCUCAAAGGGCAGUUAAUCAGCAGGGAAGUCUCCGCCAGUCGGCGGAUGACCCCUCAACGACUACACGCUGGACUCCUUAUUAUGUAAAAGGAGCAUGAUAUAGUCUGAACUUGUAAGCGAUUACAAG